rnacentral:rRNA from 1 species
AUGAACGCUGGCGGCGUGCCUAAUACAUGCAAGUCGAGCGAACGGACGAGAAGCUUGCUUCUCUGAUGUUAGCGGCGGACGGGUGAGUAACACGUGGAUAACCUACCUAUAAGACUGGGAUAACUUCGGGAAACCGUAGCUAAUACCGGAUAAUAUUUUGAACCGCAUGGUUCAAAAGUGAAAGACGGUCUUGCUGUCACUUAUAGAUGGAUCCGCGCUGCAUUAGCUAGUUGGUAAGGUAACGGCUUACCAAGGCAACGAUGCAUAGCCGACCUGAGAGGGUGAUCGGCCACACUGUAACUGAGACACGGUCCACACUCCUACGGGAGGCAGCAGUAGGGAAUCUUCCGCAAUGGGCGAAAGCCUAACGGAGCAACGCCGCGUGAGUGAUGAAGGUCUUCGGAUCGGAAAACUCUGAUAGUAGGGAAGAACAAAUGUGUAAGUAACUGUGCACAUCUUGACGGUACCUAAACAGAAAGCCACGGCUAACUACGUG